GAUGAACGCUGGCGGCGUGCUUAACACAUGCAAGUCGAACGAUGAAAGCGGGAGCUUGCUCCUGCUGGAUUAGUGGCGAACGGGUGAGUAACACGUGAGCAAUCUGCCCCGAACUCUGGGAUAAGCGUUGGAAACGACGUCUAAUACCGGAUACGACACGCGAAGGCAUCUUCUGCGCGUGGAAAGAAUUUCGGUUCGGGAUGAGCUCGCGGCCUAUCAGCUAGUUGGUGAGGUAACGGCUCACCAAGGCGACGACGGGUAGCCGGCCUGAGAGGGUGACCGGCCACACUGGGACUGAGACACGGCCCAGACUCCUACGGGAGGCAGCAGUGGGGAAUAUUGCACAUUGGGCGAAAGCCUGAUGCAGCAACGCCGCGUGAGGGACGACGGCCUUCGGGUUGUAAACCUCUUUUAGUAGGGAAGAAGCGAAAGUGACGGUACCUGCAGAAAAAGCACCGGCUAACUACGCGCCAGCAGCCGCGGUAAAAC
rnacentral:rRNA from 1 species